CUUCGACCUUUUCCCAGAAAUCACCCCUUGGCUCUACGUUUCUCCUCUCUCACCUCUGGGCUCUUCGUUUCUCCUCCUCCACUCCGUUCUGCUUCUCCAAAAAUCACCGCUGCGUUUCUCCUCUUCCACUCCAUCAUCUUGCUGCUGUUGAUUCUCUCAGUUGCUACUCUGCUCGAUCUAGUCAUCGUUCCUGCUCCAUCGUUGAUUUUCCUCCAUUCUUGCUGCUUCAUCCUCCUCCACUCUGUUGCUGGCACUAUUGAUCCUCUAGAGUGCUAUUUUGGAUUUGAGAUUUAAUCUAUUUUUCAUUUCCGGAAAUUCUUUUUUGUGUGUGUUUCUAAUGCCUGUUCUCUCGGUUCAUUUGCUUUUUUCCUCUUCGAGAUGCUUUUGAAUUUUCUUCUCUAAGAUCUUUUUGAGUUCUUGUUCUUCGAGUUUAUUCUCCAAGUAAGGAAUUGGAUUCGGGUGUUUCAUUGGUUUUAGGUGCUAAGGAUCUCCCAGUUAUCGCCAGAACAGCGGGGAGGUUUGCCGGCAAAGCAAUUGGGUAUAUUUAAUUGGCUUGUGGACAGUUCGAAAAUGUUUUGCAGCACUCUCAAGAUAGGCAGGUGCACAAAGAACUUCGAGAUGCAAUUGCACAACUAGAAGCAAUUCCUUAUGAAAUACGGAGCAUAUCCGUCAUGAAUCCUAGUCCAAUGACUCAUAGGCUGAUGGAUAAUCCAGAGACAUCACCUUCUAGUAAUGGCAUUAGUGUGCCUGAGAAGCUUGAUGAGAAGACAACUCAACUAAUGCCAUCCAAAAGGACUAUACUUCAACAACUUCAGGUUCAGCUGAUUUGCACAGUCAAGCCACUACAUAUGCAAGAUUGGCUGAAUCUAGAGCUUUGAAGGCCAAGAUGAAGGUCAGUUCAUUGAAAGACAAUAGAAAUCUAGAGGAGCUUAAUGAUGAAGCUGGUCUUUUCACUGUUCUUCCUGUUUCUGCAGAAAGCACAAGGUUACUGCCAGAUCGCAAGGGUGGGAAUGUUACAGCAGUUCAAGACUUCGAGUGAUGCUGUUAAAGCCUCUUGCUAGGUGGCAUAUCUCACCCACAAGUAAUUUGAUAGUCACUUUGUUAUGCAUGGGAAAGCUCAUAGGGAAAGAGAGAGGAGUUACAUGAGUUAGAGUCGAUGAUAAUGAUGAUAUGGAAGCAAAAGUUGAGCCUAGUAGCCGAUUAGCUCAACUCUCUUUUUUAUUACAAGGAUGAAUUUUUGUUUCUUAGAAGCUUGGUUGUCAAAUGUUUCUUACAAGGAUGAAUAAUUAGGGCACUUUUUUGGUUGUCAAGUGUUUCAGGCUCAUUUUUGGUUGCUGUUUGUGGACCCUAUCGAGCUAUUUCAGGCUCUUUUAUCUUCACAGUUCAAUGAUGGUUCAAGGAUGCUGUUUGAUCAAGAAGUCCAGAUGCUCCCUUAGUUUUAGUUUUAGUUUCAGUUUUAGUUUUUUUUUUUUUUUUGGUUGUUUUCUUUCUUUCUUUUCUUUGUGCUUGUUCUCUUCUCUUCAUCUGUUUUACCAAAAAAAAAAAGAAAAAACUGGAAUGUAUUUCCGUUUUGAAAGUAGAGGGCAAUGAGUGCCUUUAUCAAGAAGACUACUUGGUAUAUCUCUUGAGACGGUUGUAGUUUAUCAGUUUUGGAAAUUAAAUAGUCGCUUGUGAAACCAAAGUGAAAUCA